rnacentral:rRNA from 1 species
GUCGAGCGGACUUUAAAAGCUUGCUUUUAAAGUUAGCGGCGGACGGGUGAGUAACACGUGGGCAACCUGCCUGUAAGACUGGGAUAACUUCGGGAAACCGGAGCUAAUACCGGAUAAUUCUUUCCACCACAUGGUGGAAAGCUGAAAGACGGCAUCUCGCUGUCACUUACAGAUGGGCCCGCGGCGCAUUAGCUAGUUGGUGAGGUAACGGCUCACCAAGGCAACGAUGCGUAGCCGACCUGAGAGGGUGAUCGGCCACACUGGGACUGAAACACGGCCCAAACUCCUACGGGAGGCAGCAGUAGGGAAUCUUCCGCAAUGGACGAAAGUCUGACGGAGCAACGCCGCGUGAGUGAUGAAGGUUUUCGGAUCGUAAAGCUCUGUUGUU